ACCAAUCUCACGCGGCUUGACCUAGUCAUUAUUCUUCUGAAAAUCCACUGAGACAAUCAGAAAGUCUGACUGGAAAUCUUACGUGAAGAUUCAGCCUAAAGCUGAGGGAGAGGCCGAGCGCCCCCCCUCCCAACUUCCCCUGCAGCUGGCUGCUCAGAGUCUCCAACUUCAAAGGUCCCGCUGUCAAGCGUACACCCCAUUAGCUUUGCUGUGGGCAGCACCUCCGAUAUGGUGAUGACGGCAAUCACUUAGGAGACCCCUUAGGAGCAGUCCAGAAGGAAUGGGUUCGUGAGGUCUCCAGGGUGUAGUCAAUGAAUGUUUCUUUACCCAUGCCUGCCCAUCGACUCCUGACUCCUGACUCCAUCUCCCCACAUGGUCCCAGGCCAACAGGAAGUAGCCAGAUUUGAAACCAAGCUCACAUACCCAAAAAGGUGGGGAUGUUCAGCUGGAAACUUCAGCUCGCCCCAACAUGAUCAAGAAAGCUCCAUUCCUGUCUGUCUCUCUCUCUCCAAAGCCCACACUCUCAGAGUCUCUGAACAAAGGAAAGGCACAGAAUGCCUAUUUCUGUAUUCUUGGUGGCUACAGCAGCUUCCUCCUCCGAACUUGCCAGCCACUCAAGUCCCUGCCUAAAGCCUCCAGCUUUUGACCAUACUUGGGCACAAAUCCAGCUUGUGACAGACACGUCAUCACCCCUCGCCUACAAUUUAUAUAAUCUCCCUGCUUUGGUUUGGGCUUGUGACUUCCCAGACCUCUGUCUCUGGAACCAGAGAAUCCUCCUGGGAGUUGCAUUGAUCAAAUAAACCUGUUGCUAUACCUUUUCAA